rnacentral:rRNA from 1 species
GCUGGCGGCGUGCUUAACACAUGCAAGUCGAGUGCGCGCCUGUAGCAAUACAGGUGGCGCACGGCGCACGGGUGCGUAACACGUGGGCAAUCUGCCCUCUGAUGGGGAAUAACCCGCCGAAAGGCGGGCUAAUACCGCAUAAAAUUCCUUGGACUUAUGUUCGAGGACUCAAAGGCGUAAGUCGUCGGAGGAGGAGCCCGCGCACGAUUAGCUAGUUGGUAGGGUAAUGGCCUACCAAGGCUUUGAUCGUUAGCUGGUCUGAGAGGAUGGCCAGCCACACUGGAACUGAGACACGGUCCAGACUCCUACGGGAGGCAGCAGUGGGGAAUCUUGCACAAUGGGCGAAAGCCUGAUGCAGCGACGCCGCGUGGGGGAUGAAGCAUUUCGGUGUGUAAACCCCUUUCGAUCCGGACGAAUGCCUCGCAAGAGGAGUGACGGUACGGAUAUAAGAAGCCCCGGCUAACUACGUGCCAGCAGCCGCGGUAAGACGUAGGGGGCCAGCGUUGUUCGGAAUUACUGGGUGUAAAGGGUUCGUA